UAGCUACAGGCUUAACACAUGCAAGUCAAGGGGAAACGACAUCGAAAGCUUGCUUUUGAUGGGCGUCGACCGGCGCACGGGUGAGUAACGCGUAUCCAACCUGCCCAUCACUUGGGGAUAACCUUGCGAAAGUAAGACUAAUACCCAAUGACGUCUCUAGAAGACAUCUGAAAGGGAUUAAAGAUUUAUCGGUGAUGGAUGGGGAUGCGUCUGAUUAGCUUGUUGGCGGGGUAACGGCCCACCAAGGCGACGAUCAGUAGGGGUUCUGAGAGGAAGGUCCCCCACAUUGGAACUGAGACACGGUCCAAACUCCUACGGGAGGCAGCAGUGAGGAAUAUUGGUCAAUGGGCGAGAGCCUGAACCAGCCAAGUAGCGUGCAGGAUGACGGCCCUAUGGGUUGUAAACUGCUUUUAUAAGGGAAUAAAGUGAGUCUCGUGAGACUUUUUGCAUGUACCUUAUGAAUAAGGACCGGCUAAUUCCGUGCCAGCAGCCGCGGUAAUACGGAAGGUCCGGGCGUUAUCCGGAUUUAUUGGGUUUAAAGGGAGCGUAGGCCGGAGAUUAAGCGUGUUGUGAAAUGUAGACGCUCAACGUCUGCACUGCAGCGCGAACUGGUUUCCUUGAGUACGCACAAAGUGGGCGGAAUUCGUGGUGUAGCGGUGAAAUGCUUAGAUAUCACGAAGAACUCCGAUUGCGAAGGCAGCUCACUGGAGCGCAACUGACGCUGAAGCUCGAAAGUGCGGGUAUCGAACAGGAUUAGAUACCCUGGUAGUCCGCACGGUAAACGAUGGAUGCCCGCUGUUGGUCUGAAUAGGUCAGCGGCCAAGCGAAAGCAUUAAGCAUCCCACCUGGGGAGUACGCCGGCAACGGUGAAACUCAAAGGAAUUGACGGGGGCCCGCACAAGCGGAGGAACAUGUGGUUUAAUUCGAUGAUACGCGAGGAACCUUACCCGGGCUUGAAUUGCAGAGGAAGGAUUUGGAGACAAUGACGCCCUUCGGGGCCUCUGUGAAGGUGCUGCAUGAUUGUCGUCAGCUCGUGCCGUGAGGUGUCGGCUUAAGUGCCAUAACGAGCGCAACCCCUCUCCUUAGUUGCCAUCAGGUCAAGCUGGGCACUCUGGGGACACUGCCACCGUAAG
rnacentral:rRNA from 1 species